CUUUCAACAACGGAUCUCUUGGUUCUGGCAUCGAUGAAGAACGCAGCGAAAUGCGAUAAGUAAUGUGAAUUGCAGAAUUCAGUGAAUCAUCGAAUCUUUGAACGCACAUUGCGCCCUGUGGCAUUCCGCAGGGCAUGCCUGUUCGAGCGUCAUUA
rnacentral:rRNA from 1 species